UGUCGUGUUUUACUUCUUAUUACAGAUUGUAGUACAAGUGCAUUAUACUUAAAAGUAUAUGUGAAUGUUGUGUUUUACGUCUUAUUGCAUAUUGUAGUACACAUGCAUUAUACUUAAAAGUAUAUAUUCAUUAAGGUUUUCUCCACAAAAUGGCUUCCCUGAGGUUAACCGUCUAAAGAACCAAUGAGGUCUAGUGAUUUAUAUUUGUUUCAUUUUCAUCAUCUUAACGUAUUUAACUUGUAUUUACAUGUAUGUAUACUAUAUCUUUUAGAAAGCAGCUACAGGAGGAAUUUUGUUUCAUUUUCAUCAUCUUAACGUAUUUAACUUGUAUGUAUAUUUCUUUUAGAAAGCAGCCACAGGAGGAAUCCUAAAGCCUCUACAAAAAGAGGGGAAACAGACAGCCAGAUCGUGCUAACAAGUCUUCAGGAAAUACAAAAACAGGUUGAAGCACUGAGUGGUUUACCAGUAGCCGAGCAUAGUGAGGAGCCUGUGAAUGGGUGUUCUCCAAGAGGCCCAAACUGGGUUAAACCAACAUUAAAAACGUGGGCGAAGGCUUCUACAUCCAGGGAGACCUCGGGAGGUCGUCGGGGUCCAUCAGGGGCGACCCCAUUGUAUGAUCCCCCAAUAAAAAGGCAGGCUUUGGGCUCCAGCAGGCAGGACAUCACUGCUAAAGGCCCAAUCUGGGUUAAACCGACAAUAAAAACGUGGGCGAAAGCAUCUACAUCCAGGGAGCCGUGGGGAGGUCCACCCCAAAAGUGCAGACAACCUUCGGAGACGCUGGCUGCACCGGGUGAUGUGACGGACCUAUUUACCCCGAGAUACAACGAGUGGAUAACCGACGAGGAAAUAAUACGCUGUGUUGAGGCUCUCGAAGCGGAUGUUGACGAACGGCAAGAUCAGGAGGCUGUAGGUGAGCAGAGAGAUGCUGAUGGUGCAGCACUG